rnacentral:rRNA from 1 species
UAAUACGUAGGGUGCUAGCGUUGUUCGGAAUCAUUGGGCGUAAAGCGCGUGUAGGCGGUUAAUUAAGUCGGGUGUGAAAUCCCUAGGCUCAACCAAGGAAGUGCAUCCGAAACUGAUUAGCUAGAAGAUGGUAGAGAAAGGUGGAAUUCCAAGUGUAGAGGUGAAAUUCGUAGAUAUUUGGAGGAAUACCGGUGGCGAAGGCGGCCUUUUGGGCCAUUCUUGACGCUGAGACGCGAAAGCGUGGGUAGCAAACAGGAUUAGAUACCCUGGUAGUCCACGCCGUAAACGAUGGGUACUAGAUGUUGGAGGAAUUGACCCCUCCAGUGUCGUAGCUAACGCAUUAAGUACCCCGCCUGGGAAGUACGGCCGCAAGGUUA